UAAACCAAACGGUAAUAUAUUCCACCAACAACAAUGGAUGCCCAAUUUGGUUUAUAAUAUUCGUUAUAUUGCUUUUAAGUUUAUCAAAAUCUGAAAAGUUACAGUGCUUUUCAAUCCGGUGAUGCUCGGAGUACUUUGUGCACGUCCUAAACCUUGGCUCUUUGCAUCACUCUCACUAUCUCACGCCCACGGCUCAGCGCCGGCGGCUUAUAACCGACUAAUUGGAGCACCUACAAAAUCAGUAUUAGUUGGAGGUUCGGAUCAGUUACAGAGGGUAUAACCGACUAAUCGGAACACCUGCAAAAUCAGUAUUAGGUGGAGGUUCGGAUCAGUUACAGAGGCGACAUCAUUCUAGCCAUUGCCGACUUGGAGCUUCUGUAAAUCGAGGUGGCGCAGCUUC
rnacentral:lncRNA from 1 species